CCUGAAUCAGUUGUUUACUGUCUUCCACUUUAAAUCAGGAAUGAGAACUGUAGAGAACAUAUCAAAUUUGUGCAGAGCACAGAUUCACUGGGCUGCUUUCUGGCUCAACUCUGAUGGCGAGACUGAAAAAUAACGGUUUGAGUUUAGUCUUCCCCACCUGGAGUUCUUUCCAGAAUACAGUUUUGGAUCUGAAAACAGAAUCGUUGAAACAACGUAGACUUCAGGGUCAGAGAGAACUGUAUUUAAAGGCUAAACUAUAGUUUACCAGGCACAUGACAUUGGCCAAGUCACUUAACCGUUUUAAGCCUCAGUUUUCCCAGAAAGAGGAUAACAUCUUAGUAACUUAGAUAUUGAAGUAGUUGUGAUUAUUUAAAGCAAGUCCAUUGAGCACCUUACAGAGAGCAUAUAUUAGGCAUUUAGUAAGUGGUAGGCUAUUAUUUUUAUUAGGAACAAGACACUGAUGUUUACAAUAUUUUAACUAAUGAGCUUUCUGAGGUGAAAAAAUAUUCCUG
rnacentral:lncRNA from 1 species